AGAGUUUGAUCCUGGCUCAGAGCGAACGCUGGCGGCAGGCCUAACACAUGCAAGUCGAGCGCCCCGCAAGGGGAGCGGCAGACGGGAGAGUAACACGUGGGAACGUACCCUUUGGUUCGGAACAACCCAGGGAAACUUGGGCUAAUACCGGAUAAGCCCUUACGGGGAAAGAUUCAUCGCCGAAGGAUCGGCCCGCGUCUGAUUAGCUAGUUGGUGGGGUAACGGCCCACCAAGGCGACGAUCAGUAGCUGGUCUGAGAGGAUGAUCAGCCUCACUGGGACUGAGACACGGCCCAGACUCCUACGGGAGGCAGCAGUGGGGAAUAUUGGACAAUGGGCGCAAGCCUGAUCCAGCCAUGCCGCGUGGGUGAUGAAGGCCCUAGGGUUGUAAAGCCCUUUCGGCGGGGAAGAUAAUGUCGGUACCCGCAGAAGAAGCCCCGGCUAACUUCGUGCCAGCAGCCGCGGUAAU
rnacentral:rRNA from 1 species